UAACCACUAUAGACUGGUCAUUUCUGCUUCCCCCUUUAGACAAUCAGAAGCAUUUUCUUCAUUACACAGCACAUUUGAGAUAUUCACAUACUUGUGCAUAGCUGCGAGAUAUUUACUUACAUUGCUUAUCAUCUCCCAUUGUGUGAGUUAUAGCACCAUGUUUAUUUAGAGAUGGGCACUCGGGCUGUUUCCAGCUUUUGGCCGUGAGCAUUCUUGUGCUGUCAUGUGGCUCUUGUUAUUAUGGGAAAUGAACAUGUUUGGGGACAAACAUGUCAGAACUGUGAGGGAGAAACUUGGCAGUGAGGCAAACUGUGUGAUAUGCUUGACAAGAAUUGAGAAACAGCACACCUCAGAAACUCAGCUUCUCCGCGGCUUCUGGUUCAGAGACAUGAGUCAGAAGCCACACAAGGGGAAGCACCCUGCAGCUCUCUCUCCGAAUGUCUCUACUAAGGAGCCAGCAGCGGCCGUUUCCGGCGCACAGCAAGAGGUGGCAUCUGAGGGAAAGCCAGCCUAGCUCUGUUCCACCAGGCGAGACAGGAAGUGAAAGAGAGAACAUUUGUCCUUCACAAGGAGAAGAGUUGGGGCAAAUUGUCUGAAAGGCAAAUAUCUAUAAUGAUGGGGCAAUGAGAAACUCCUAGUGGCGGGAAACAGACGUGCCUUGGCACACACAUGGAGAUUUUUUUAUCCCUGGGGUUUGCUUAACCCCUGUCUUUGAAAGUUUGCCUUUUUCGAGAAUAAACAUGGUUUAAUAGUGAG